CACUGCGCUAAAAAUUAGGGCAACUAAUGUUAGUUCCAAAAAUUGAGUCAAUUCAUUAUGACUUAGGUCCAAAAAUAUUCUGAUAAUUAGGCUUUUAUACAUUACUACAAUAGUUUUGAAAUAAAUACGUGAUAUAUAGACACACACAAAAAUAUUACUCACUGACUGAAGGCCUCCAUGGUGCUUUCUAUCCGCUCACCACAUCCUGAAUUUGAGGGUUCUUCAGCAGGUAUAGCGAGGUGAGGGUGUACCCACCCAACGCCGGGAGAACGACACACCAAAAACAGCUCAUCUCCUUUUAAAAAUCUCCGCAAGCUCUCUCGUCGGAUUGAACUAACAAAGUGCUAAGUUGCUG